CGGAAGUAGGGAAAAUAUUUUCCGGUGAAAGCGCUAGCCGAACAAUGGCGGAGUCCAAAAGUAGUCAGUCGUGUAGUGUACCUUUGUGUUCUAAUUCAAAGAAAAAGCAACCUCACUUAUCAUUUCAUAGUUUUCCCAUCGACGAAAACUUAAGAAAGCGUUGGAUUUUGGCCAUACGGAGAAAAGAUGGGGCGGCAUUUACUGUGAGGAAAGGUAGCACUUUUGUGCUAACUGUUAAGCACUUCACGGAGGAUGAGGUCCGUGUCCAUCCAGAGUCCGGUCGUAAGGCUGUGCCUUCCAGGUUUGCGUGGAACAGUUGGGGAGAAGUUCAAUCACGCUAGACUCGGACAUCAAAAAGAGGUGUUCGUGGUGCAGAGAAAGCAGUAACGUUGGAUGUCGAAAUGGAGAGUGCUGGUGCAGGAGGAGCAUGAUUACAACAGCCGUCCAGCCCCGGUAUCCUCUCAGAUUCUGAACACAUCAACCCCUCCGGACAUGUCAUCUUUCCAGUUUAGGAUAGCAAAACAUCAAUGUAUGUGCCAAAGUAGCAUU